AUGCUUGUACAAUGUAUGGCCAGAAGAUUGCAUGCUCUCAAAUCGCCGACAGUUAUGCUGAAGCUGGAUAUCAACAAAGCAUUCGACUUCAUCAGCUGGCCCUUCCUGGUCGAGGUCCUAAGGCGUUCUGGCUUUGGUGAAAAAUGGAUAGCAUGGAUUUGUGGACUGCUAGCUACCUCCUCCACCCGGAUCAUGAUCAAUGGAUGCCCUGGUAAACCUAUACUUGCUUGUCAAGGCCUGCGGCAAGGUGACCCCGUCUCACCCAUGAUCUUCAUUCUCUGCAUGGAGCCGUUAUUUGCACUGUUCAAGCACGCCAUGGAGUAUGGGUUGUUGGCACCGCUGUCUCAAGCCAGAUUGCAGCAGAGGGUAUCCAUGUUUGCGGAUGAUGUGAUUGUGUUCUUCAAACCAAAUGAGGUGGAAACUAUCACUUGUUGA
rnacentral:rRNA from 1 species